CCCUUAGACGUUCUGGGCCGCACGCGCGCUACACUGAUCAGUGCAACAAGCAUCCGUCCUUGGCCGACAGGCCCGGGCAAUCUUUGAACGCUGGUCGUGAUGGGGAUAGACUUUUGCAAUUUUUGGUCUUCAACGAGGAAUUCCUAGUAAACGCAAGUCAUCAACUUGCAUUGAUUACGUCCCUGCCCUUUGUACACACCGCCCGUCGCACCUACCGAUUGAAUGGUCCGGUGAAGCCUCCGGAUUGGCGCGCACCUCGGUGCCGCCGAGAAGUUGGCUAAACCUUACCAUUUAGAGGAAGGUGAANUCGUAACA
rnacentral:rRNA from 1 species